rnacentral:rRNA from 1 species
UACGGAGGAUGCGAGCGUUAUCCGGAUUUAUUGGGUUUAAAGGGUGCGUAGGCGGAACAUUAAGUCAGCGGUAAAAUCGAGGGGCUCAACCCCUUUAAGCCGUUGAAACUGGUGAUCUUGAGUGGGCGAGAAGUAUGCGGAAUGCGUGGUGUAGCGGUGAAAUGCGUAGAUAUCACGCAGAACUCCGAUUGCGAAGGCAGCAUACCGGCGCCCGACUGACGCUGAGGCACGAAAGCGUGGGGAUCGAACAGG